GGCCUGGUGCGAGUACGGGUCGAAGUUCGUCGGUUACCACUCACAAUGGGGCGGUCGCAGGUUCGAGUCCUGCCCGGGGCA
rnacentral:tRNA from 1 species